rnacentral:rRNA from 1 species
GGAUCAGCAUGCCGCGGUGAAUACGUUCCCGGGCCUUGUACACACCGCCCGUCACACCACGAGAGUUUGUAACACCCGAAGUCGGUGGGGUAACCUUUUGGAGCCAGCCGCCUAAGGUGGGACAGAUGAUUGGGGUGAAGUCGUAACAAGGUAGCCGUAUCGGAAGGUGCGGCUGGAUCACCUCCUUUCUAAGGA